UACGAAGGGGGCUAGCGUUGCUCGGAAUGACUGGGCGUAAAGGGCGCGUAGGCGGAUGGCACAGUCAGAUGUGAAAUUCCCGGGCUUAACCUGGGGGCUGCAUUUGAUACGUGUUGUCUAGAGUGAGGAAGAGGGUUGUGGAAUUCCCAGUGUAGAGGUGAAAUUCGUAUGAUAUUGGGAAGAACACCGGUGGCGAAGGCGGCAACCUGGUCCUUGACUGACGCUGAGGCGCGAAAGCGUGGGGAGCAAACAGG
rnacentral:rRNA from 1 species